UUAUACCUAUUCGAAGGGAUAGGGUCGGUUCGGCCGGGUUUCACACAGGUGUUGCAUGGCUGUCGUCAGCUCGUGUCNGUGAGAUGUUGGGUUAAGUCCCGCAACGAGCGCAACCCUCAUCCUUAGUUACCAUCAGGUAAUGCUGGGGACUUUAAGGAGACUGCCAGUGAUAAACUGGAGGAAGGUGGGGAUGAUGUCAAGUCAUCAUGGCCCUUAUGGAGUGGGCUACACACGUGCUACAAUGGUGGCUACAAUGGGCUGCAAAGUCGCGAGGCUAAGCCAAUCCCUUAAAAGCCAUCUCAGUUCGGAUUGUACUCUGCAACUCGAGUGCAUGAAGUUGGAAUCGCUAGUAAUCGUGGAUCAGCACGCCACGGUGAAUACGUUCUCGGGUCUUGUACACACUGCCCGUCACGCCAUGGGAAUUGGUUUCACUCGAAGCUAAAA
rnacentral:rRNA from 1 species